rnacentral:ncRNA from 1 species
UCGGUUCUGGUUCACGAGACGCACUCCGCGCCCGACCCAGCGGCC